GCCAGCGUGAUACAGAGGUUUGAGUAGUUUGGCUAUGACCCUGGAGGCCAAGGUUCGAAUCCCAGCUCAGCCA